rnacentral:rRNA from 1 species
CCUACGGGCGGCAGCAGUGGGGGAUAUUGCACAAUGGGGGAAACCCUGAUGCAGCGACGCCGCGUGGGCGAAGAAGUAUUUCGGUAUGUAAAGCCCUAUCAGCAGGGAAGAAGAAAUGACGGUACCUGAGUAAGAAGCACCGGCUAAAUACGUGCCAGCAGCCGCGGUAAUACGUAUGGUGCAAGCGUUAUCCGGAUUUACUGGGUGUAAAGGGAGCGCAGGCGGCACGGCAAGCCUGAUGUGAAAGCCCGGGGCGCAACCGCGGGACUGCAUUGGGAACUACCGGGCUGGAGUGCCGGAGAGGUAGGCGGAAUUGCUAGUGUAGCGGUGAAAUGCGUAGAUAUUAGGAGGAACACCAGUGGCGAAGGCGGCCUACUGGACGGUGACUGACGCUGAGGCUCGAAAGCGUGGGGAGCAAACAGGAUUAGAUACCCCAGUAGUC